AUGAACACAAACCCAUGAUCUUUCUCUGCCCUUGGCUGCCCUGGUGCUGUUAAAACCCACCAAGUUUUCCCUCUCUGAGUAGGCCUGCCUGGAGAAUCCUUCAUCUGGCUUCCCUGUACUUCCCUGCUGCUUCUCAGGCAUGUGCCAAGCUUUUCUUCCCUGCCCCGGAAGGCUCUCUGUGCUGCUGGACACUUGGCAAAGAGCAAAUGCAUUUAUUGCUGCAGAUGGGACAGCUGCAAUCCAAGGUGGAUGGAGAGUGACUCCAGGCUGGGGUGAUCUCAGCAGAUCUCUACUGCCAUCUUAGCCAUCCCCCACAUCUUUACAAGACCACGUUUUUCCUCUUUUGCAGUCACACCUUUGCAGCUGGGAUGCCUCUUACAUAAGGUAUUUGAG